ensembl:lncRNA
UAACUGAGAACUGAGUUGAAGCAGUUGGAGUGUAUAAUUCUUCAGAGAGGAUACGUACAUACCCAGCCUAACUCCAUUUUGCAGGAUCUUCUUUCAAGGUCUUCGUCUGGUGGCAAGUGUGUGAAUGGAGCUCCAGAGAGAGAGAGGUGUUUGUGAUUCAGAGCUUGACCUUAUGCCAGCUUCAAAGUGACAGAUUGAUGUCUUUGCUGGACAUCAGUGGAGCUUUUAUUGGACACACACCUUUUUUACCCUGGGUCACGGGGAACCUGGAGUCUAUCCCAGGGAACAUCGGGCACAGGGCGGGGUACACCCUGGACAGGGUGCCAGUCCAUCGCAGGGCACUGCAUAGCAACACGACACUGGCCGAAGUCACUGCAGCCAUAAUGGGAUUUUCCAUCAGAACACAGAGCGAGAAGCUGGCUACGAGCACCACCACAAUCAUGGCUUAGAUCUCUUUAUCGUCAGAAGAACUUCUAUUAAAAUGAAUAGAGGCUGGACUUGAAUGAUCAGAUGAAGAGAAGAGGAAAUUCAAAGAUUAUGAAGUUGAUGGAGAAACUGUCAACGCUGGUCUCAUGGAUCACAUGAUAGCACAGCUUUUUGAGAAGUCUGUUAAGAAGAUGUUUUCAACGUAGAUACGUUGUGGACACUGUGUGGAAAACUGUUGCUCCCACAAUCGUUUGAUUCUCAUGUUCAUGCAUUUCAUAUUUCAUAUGACAAGGAUUGGUUUUGUAUGAUGCCAGGAGAGGAACUGGACUGCCAGGAACUUGAGCUAUAUAAGGUUGAUGACGUUUUGUAUGUAGGAACCAGAUAUGCAUAGGCACUCACCUACAGAACAUUAGGUUUGUGCACAUCCCAUUACAAUGUUUUUGAUGCUUUUGCAUCAUUUCAUUUCUGCUUUAAAAAUGUUAAUGUUAAGUAAAUGCAAGGGUAUUGUGUGAAAAGUGGGGAAAAAAUGAAUUUAAAAGUGUAAAUUGUAUUGUGAACAGUUUGUUUGUGAAAAGUUGUAGAUGGGAAAAUGUAUUUUACAUAGUGUAACAUUUUAGUGUAAUUGUAUUCUGUUAAAAUAUAUAUUUUUUAUAUCUUUAUUGUAAACUUUAAAGAUAUAUUUACACAAAAAGAAAUAUUUUACUGUAAGCUGCAACAAAGUGUUUGUUCAAGUUAUUGUUACAGUAACAGUUACUGAUAUUAAAUUGAUGCCUUUUGGGUUCAAUUGUUGAAUGUGCAUAUUAUUCAAUAGGAAAAUGGCCUUUAGUAGUCCUUGAAGGAACACAUCUGACACAUUUAAGGUACAAAGGGGCUUAUCACUGGGGUGGUAGCUUCAAGGAUAAGAUUUGUACCUUUGAUGAAGGUACAGUAUUUGUACCAGCAAGUUUAAAAAAACAAAGGUACAUUUUGGUUGCCCAUGGUACAAAUCAUGUCUGUAAAGGUACAAACUGGAAUGGUACAAAUUUGUUUCUUUAUAUUAAGGUAAAAUUCCAUUAAAAGUUACCGCCCCGGUGAUAAUGGUUUGUACCUGCUUUAGUACAAAAUUGAACUUUUUUUUUCUUUUCUUUUUUUAUGAGAGUGUAAAACACUGAAUGCAUACAAUCCACAGUUCAACUUAAAACUAACUAUAACACAACCCUUUAUAAACUGGAACAAAUUCUAAAAGUGCCAUGUUUCAAUUUAAUUUCCUUGUGUAGCAAUAUCUCAUCUCAAUCACAC